rnacentral:rRNA from 1 species
GACGAACGCUGGCGGCGUGCUUAACACAUGCAAGUCGAACGGUGAAGGGACCGGUUUUUGCUGGUUCUGGAUGAGUGGCGAACGGGUGAGUAACCCGUGAGUAACCUGCCCCCUUCUUCUGGAUAACCGCAUGAAAGUGUGGCUAAUACGGGAUAUUCUGCGCCUGCUGCAUGGUGGGUGUGGGAAAGAUAUUGUUUCGGGGGGGGAUGGGCUCGCGGCCUGUCAGCUUGUUGGUGGGGUGAUGGCCUACCAAGGCGGUGACGGGUAGCCGGCCUGAGAGGGUGGACGGUCACACUGGGAAUGAGACACGGCCCAGACUGCUACGGGAGACAGCAGUGAGGAAUAUUGCACGAUGGGGGCAAGCCUGAUGCAGCGACGCCGCGUGAGGGAUGGAGGCCUUCGGGGUGUAAACCUCUGUCGCCAGUGAAGCAGGCCUGUCCCUGUUGUGGGUGGGUUGACGGUAGCUGGAUAAGAAGCGCCGGCUAACUACGUG